CGGGGAGGCAGCAGUGAGGAAUAUUGGUCAAUGGGCGAGAGCCUGAACCAGCCAAGUAGCGUGAAGGAUGACUGCCCUAUGGGUUGUAAACUUCUUUUAUAAAGGAAUAAAGUCGGGUAUGGAUACCCGUUUGCAUGUACUUUAUGAAUAAGGGUCGGCUAACUCCGUGCCAGCAGCCGCGGUAAUACGGAGGAUCCGAGCGUUAUCCGGAUUUAUUGGGUUUAAAGGGAGCGUAGAUGGAUGUUUAAGUCAGUUGUGAAAGUUUGCGGCUCAACCGUAAAAUUGCAGUUGAUACUGGAUAUCUUGAGUGCAGUUGAGGCAGGCGGAAUUCGUGGUGUAGCGGUGAAAUGCUUAGAUAUCACGAAGAACUCCGAUUGCGAAGGCAGCCUGCUAAGCUGCAACUGACAUUGAGGCUCGAAAGUGUGGGUAUCAAACAGGAUUAGAUACCCUGGUAGUCCACACGGUAAACGAUGAAUACUCGCUGUUUGCGAUAUACUGCAAGCGGCCCAAGCGAAAGCGUUAAGUAUUCCACCUGGGGAGUA
rnacentral:rRNA from 1 species